AGAGUUUGAUCCUGGCUCAGAACGAACGCUGGCGGCGCGUCUUAAACAUGCAAGUCGAACGGCAAAAGAGGGGCUUGCCCCUUUUUGAGAGUGGCGGACUGGUGAGUAACACGUGGGUGACAUACCUUUUAGUUGGGGAUAGCUAUUAGAAAUAGUAGGUAAUACCGAAUGUGACCGUAUCUGUUAGAGGGAUACGAGGAAAGGAGCUAAGGCUUCGCUAAAAGAAUGGCUCGCGGCCCAUUAUGCUCGUUGGUGAGGUAACGGCCCACCAAGGCGAUGAUGGGUAUCCGGCCUGAGAGGGUGAACGGACACAUUGGGACUGAGAUACGGCCCAAACUCCUACGGGAGGCAGCAGCUAAGAAUAUUCCGCAAUGGACGAAAGUCUGACGGAGCGACGCCGCGUGGAUGAAGAAUGCCGAAAGGUUGUAAAAUCCUUUUAAGCCUGAUGAAUAAGCACAGUAGGGAAUGAUUGUGCGGUGACCGUAGGGCUUGAAUAAGCACCGGCUAAUUACGUGCCAGCAGCCGCGGUAACACGUAAGGUGCGAGCGUUGUUCGGAAUUAUUGGGCGUAAAGGGCAUGUAGGCGGAUAGGCAAGCUUGGUGUGAAAUGUUACAGCUUAACUGUGAGACAGCAUUGAGAACUGCCGAUCUUGAAUUACUGAAGGGUAACCAGAAUUCCACGUGUAGGGGUGAAAUCUGUAGAUAUGUGGAAGAAUACCAAUGGCGAAGGCAGGUUACCGGCAGAUAAUUGACGCUGAGGUGCGAAAGUGCGGGGAGCGAACAGGAUUAGAUACCCUGGUAGUCCGCACCGUAAACGAUGUACACUAGGUGUCUGGCAUAACAGCUGGGUGCCAAAGCAAACGUGAUAAGUGUACCGCCUGGGGAGUAUGCCCGCAAGGGUGAAACUCAAAGGAAUUGACGGGGGCCCGCACAAGCGGUGGAGCAUGU
rnacentral:rRNA from 1 species